GAUGAACGCUAGCUACAGGCUUAACACAUGCAAGUCGAGGGGAAACGAUAUUGGAAGCUUGCUUCUGAUAGGCGUCGACCGGCGCACGGGUGAGUAACGCGUAUCCAACCUGCCCAUCACUUGGGGAUAACCUUGUGAAAGUAAGACUAAUACCCAAUGACGUCUCUAGAAGACAUCUGAAAGAGAUUAAAGAUUUAUCGGUGAUGGAUGGGGAUGCGUCUGAUUAGCUUGUUGGCGGGUAACGGCCCACCAAGGCGACGAUCAGUAGGGGUUCUGAGAGGAAGGUCCCCCACAUUGGAACUGAGACACGGCCCAAACUCCUACGGGAGGCAGCAGUGGGGGAAUAUUGCACAAAUGGGGGGAAACCCUGAUGCAGCGACGCCGCGUGGAGGAAGAAGGUCUUCGGAUUGUAAACUCCCUGUUGUUGAGGAAGAUAAU
rnacentral:rRNA from 1 species